CCCCCCACCCAAGAGAGCACAUUCACAGCCUCGGGGACCAGGGCGUGGGCAUCUGGGCCGGAGACCCUGUUCUGAGACCACAGCCAUGAACCUGGCAGCAAGGCUGGGAAGUCAGCCUUUCCCUGAAGUGCAGAGUCUCAGGUGUCAGCGCCCAAGUUGCUCCCGGGUACAAGGCGAGCACAGAAAGCACGAACACGUGAUGUCUCUGGAUCGUUCUCCUCGGCUCCUUCGGUCUGUAGGAUAAAGCCCAGAGCAGCCAGAAGCCGGGGGCCCACUGCACCUGUUUUGCAUUGCUGACCCCGUGCUCCCCUGACCGCAGAGCCAGGCCACCAUCCGCCGCAGUCCCUAGCUCUCUCUCGUGUCACCACCCGGCACAGACAUCCCCGUGGUGCCGGCGACGCUCUGAGCUGGUCGCUGGGACCCACCUGCCCAGCACCCCGUCCUACCACCCCCCACCCCUCACCCCCGGCUCUCCCACGGGGGCCCCACCCAGGUCACCUGCCUGUCCCUACUUCCCUCCUCCUCCUGCCCGGCACCCCCUUUCUCCACCUGCGGUGGCCUCCUCUCGCCUCGCGUCACAUACAGGUUCCUGCUCUCCUGACAGACGUCCUUCCUCGUCCUGGGGCUACCUCCUCCCAGCUCCCUGUUUACACAUCUCGGGCACCUGUUUCCAGCCGGCUCUCCACGCAGGGGGGUCGGCUACCUGUGCUCACAGCCGUCUACGCAGCGGGUGCCUGCCUCCCGGACCCGUGUCCCGGUCACUGCGGCUCCCCCAGCUGAACACACUCAGAGCCCGAACCCCAGGAAGAGGAGGGGACCCGGCAGACCCCUCGUUGACCGCCUGCGGUGAUGGAUGGGGGAGAGGAGGAAUCACCAGCAAGGGCAGAGGGAGGGCGUCUGAGAGCCACUGGCACUAAGUCACCGGGAUGCUUUUCUGCACGCUAGUCUCUCGGACGGAUGGAAUUUCAGCAAAACCUGGAGCUUCCCAGCAUCAAGUUCCCUGCGGGGAGGGUCCCGGAUCCCCUCACACGACCCGGGACCUUCGACCCCAUGCAGCCGCUGGUCGGGAUGCAGACGACGGGCAGGACACGAGGCGAAGUCAUCCCAGAAAUGCCCGGCGUGGGGACACAGCCGACGAGAAGAUCAGACACGAGCACAAGGGAAGAGCCCAUGUCGCGCCUUCAAAGCGCAGCAUUUGCUUUCAGACAACACAAUGCCUGGCUAAAAGAGGCAACCGAGAAACACUUGGUCCCUGGGUUGGUUUGGUGACUGUAUCAUCUCAGGCCUAUGGAUGGGCCUCUGUGGGAUUGUCUAGGUCUUUACCUCUUAGUCACAAGAAGGCUGCUACUGCUCCAAGUAUCUCAUCCUUGUGCAACAUCACACAAACAGAACUAAGGGAGGGGACCCGCUGUCCCACAUUUCUGUCUCUACUGGGAGGACAGUAAGUCCCAGGGGCUCCAAGGAGGCUUCCUUCCCUCCCACCGGCCAGAAUCAGAGACAGUCCCAAGUCCCAGCUCUAAAGGCGGCUGCAGUGUUGUGUAUCUGGCAAUUUCAGCUUCCACCGAAGGAGGGAGAAGGACUUGGAAGUAAGGAGAAAGGGCAGAAAGAGCUUUCUAGAUGGGCAACCUGACUCGGUGCCCCGGUGAGCCCUGAUGUCAGUACAGGCCGGCCUCGUUGAUGGACCCCCGCAUCCCAGCCCCUCGCCAGAUGGACAGGAAGGCUCAGUGAGGGCACACCAAUGUCACAGCGCUGCCUCUCAAGACGGGGACACCAGACCCCUCAGGCCGCUGUCCUGCAGGGCACCUAUCAGCCCGAGACGCCCUCAGGGAUGCUCGUGGCUCCCGGUGAGCUCCAGGCCUUGGUUCUUCCCCUUCGCCUGUACCAUCACCCCCUAUCACCCCGGGUACUUUGCUCGUGACCUCCAGUAAGUUGUGAGGUGGGGACGUUUUCUAUAUAAGUUCCAUUUGGAAUUUUUAAGUAGAUUACAAUUUCUCAAUUCAAAAGGAAAGAAACUCGCUGAUAAAAGAAGAAUCAUGGACUAGAGGUGGGGAAAGAAAUUUCCAGUUGGAGCAAUGCAUUCCUAGGUCCGGUCACUGGCUGCGACCGAUGGACCAGACUGGACGGAGCCCUGAGGAGCUGUCAGCCUCGGCUCUGGUCAGACAGACGGGCUCCUUUAAUCGAGGAAGAAACAGUGGGGCGGUGACUUUUGUCGCUAGGGAAGCCUGGCCCCUCUGUCUGUCUGCGUCCCUGUGCAACACGCUCUGGGCCCUCCCGUUCGCCUGGGGCUGUCUGAUCACACGUGUCUCCUGGUUGACUGCUGGCUGCCCCGUGCAGGUGCCCACGCUCACCCCCCAGGUGAGGGCAGAAACCAGCCUGCAGCCUGAGGAGGCUUCCGACCCAGAGAGAAGGGUGGAGCCAGGGCCGGUGGAGCCCCGGAAGGUGACCUCCCGAUGGCCAUCCACGGCCCUGCUCUGCGGAACCAAAGUGGGCACCAGGGACGGGACAGAAGCUUGUGUCCCCGAGCGGAUUCGCCGUUUCCCCCAGGAAGGCCAGACGCACCUGCUUCCUGGCUGCAAAGCUGCUCGCAUCCUGGACGGUGUGGACACGGUGACCUGGGGUCUGGGGGCUGACAAGGCUCAUGUUUCUCCAGAGAGAGCUGGCCGGUUUGGCCCUGCUGGGCGUCCGUAAACAUCAUCAUCUCUUUCUCUAACCUGUUGGUGCUGUGGGACAAGUCCCUUCUCUUGUCCCAUUAAUAGGUUUGUCCAACCCCAAAAUGUAAUUUUCCCGCAUGCUCGUUAAACCUCAUCUUUCUUUUCCCGAAUGAUGUACAGGAGACAGUUGUAUCCCUGAAAACAGCAAGCACUUCCCCACCCCCCACCCGUGUCCUGUCCAGUACUGAUAAAUUCUCGCCUUCGCUUGCUUUUGGCUUUCAACACCUCUGUCUGCAGGUGGAAAAAUUAAAGGCAGCAAAGGCCUCUCAGUUCCAAA